UCUUCAUUGGCCUUUAGUGAUAAUAAUCACAUCUAACAUUUUUGGAGCUCCACUAUGUGCAAGAUACUGUGUGUUCUCCUGUGAUGUUUACAAAAAUCCUUUGAAGCAGAUGCUGUCUCCAUGUUUCAGGGAGCCUCCAUCUUUGGCACUCUGGUUGUGAUCCGUGGACCAGCUGCAUGAGGUUACCUGGGAGCUUGUUAAAAAUACAGAACCUCAGUUCCACUCCAGGCCUUCUGAAUAGAAUCAACUUUGCAGCAAGAUCAUUGAUAUCUGUAUGCACAAUAAAGUUUUAGAAGCACUGUUCUAAAUCUCUCAAAUUCCUUAUCAGUAAUUCACAAACAUGUGGCCUGGUUACGUCAGAAUUUCCUGAUGUGUGAGUUAAAUAAAAUGCAAAUUCUUAGGCCCUGCAAAAACAAAAACAAAACCAAAAACCCCUACUAAAUGAGAAACUCUGGAGAUAGGACUUAGAGUUACGUAUUUUUAAAUGUUCUCUGUACAAUACUGUACAAUUUUAACCCCUGAUAUAAGGAAAGAGAAAACUCCAGUUUUAUAUUAUUAUGUACCAGUAAAAUGUUCUUUCUCACAGAAUAUUUAAAGUGAAAAUGUCACAUAGUUAGAUCCUGUUUUAUUGCUGAAAAUAUUUAAAGUGCCAUUAAGAUAUGAUGUUAAAGAUAUUUUGCAAGUAGUUUAAAACUUUUUAAAAUGACUGAAGGAAAAUACAUUGUACAGGUUCUUUUGUGAAAUAAAUAUUACAGUCUUGAGACUACUUGGACUUUAGAACUUGUAGUUAUUCCAAUAAAAAUGAGACAAAGCUCU
rnacentral:lncRNA from 10 species